rnacentral:rRNA from 1 species
UUUCCGUAGGUGAACUGCGGAAGGAUCAUUACCG